rnacentral:rRNA from 1 species
AAUCCUGACACAGGGAGGUAGUGACAAGAAAUAACAAUACAGGGCUACUUCUAGUCUUGUAAUUGGAAUGAGUACAACUUACAUCUCUUCACGAGGAUCAACUGGAGGGCAAGUCUGGUGCCAGCAGCCGCGGUAAUUCCAGCUCCAGAAGCGUAUAUUAAAGUUGUUGCAGUUAAAACGCUCGUAGUCGGGUUUCGGGUCGGGCCGAGCGGUCUGCCGAUGGGUAUGCACUGUUUGGCGCGGCCUUCUUUCCGGAGACCGCGGCUACUCUUAACUGAGCGGGCGUGGGAGACGGAUCGUUUACUUUGAAAAAAUCAGAGUGUUUCAAGCAGGCAGCUCGCUCUUGCAUGGUACAGCAUGGGAUGAUUGAAUAGGACUCCGGUGCUAUUUUGUUGGUUUCGAACACCAGGAGUAAUGAUUAACAGGGACAGUCAGGGGCACUCGUAUUCCGUCGAGAGAGG